AUGAACGCUGGCGGCGUGCUUAACACCUGCAAGUCGAACGGGAAACCUUUUAAUGAAGCUUCGGCAGAUUUAGCUGGUUUCUAGUGGCGGACGGGUGAGUAACGCGUGGGUAACCUGCCUUAUACAGGGGGAUAACAGUCAGAAAUGACUGCUAAUACCGCAUAAGCGCACAGGACCGCAUGGUCCGGUGUGAAAAACUCCGGUGGUAUAAGAUGGACCCGCGUUGGAUUAGCUUGUUGGUGGGGUAACGGCUCACCAAGGCGACGAUCCAUAGCCGGCCUGAGAGGGUGAGCGGCCACAUUGGGACUGAGACACGGCCCAGAAUCCUACGGGAAGCAGCAGUGGGGAAUAUUGCACAAUGGGGGAAACCCUGAUGCAGCGACGCCGCGUGAAGGAAGAAGUAUCUCGGUAUGUAAACUUCUAUCAGCAGGGAAGAUAGUGACGGUACCUGACGAAGAAGCCCCGGCUAACUACGUG
rnacentral:rRNA from 1 species